UUCUAUUCUAAAUGUCUUGUAGAAUUUAGCAGUGAAGCCAUCAGAACCUGGGCAUUUCUUUGUUGUGAAUAAAAACAUCUCACCUCUCCAGAUGAAUCAGCUUUCUUGGAAAAAAAAGAGAAGAAGAUGAAUGUUUAACUUUAUAAUUCAAGAUUGAAUAAACGAUUGAGGACAUUCACCAGCCAGACAGUCACAGAGUUCAUCAUGGCAGGGUAUCAGCCAGUACGGCAAAAGGAAGAGGUCCCCACUUGCCACGUGCCUCAUCAGAUCCAGGUCUAGCCCCGAUCUUCGCCCCUUGUCAGCAGGAAGCAGCUCCAGAAGAAGAGACCUUCGCCC
rnacentral:lncRNA from 1 species